rnacentral:rRNA from 1 species
CCCCUAGAUGUUCUGGGCCGCACGCGCGCUACACUGAACAGUUCAACAAGUCUUAACCUCGGCCGAUAGGUCUGGGUAAUCUUUGAACGCUGUUCGUGAUUGGGAUAGACCUUUGCAAUUAUGGGUCUUCAACGAGGAAUUCCUAGUAAACGCAAGUCAUCAGCUUGCAUUGAUUACGUCCCUGCCCUUUGUACACACCGCCCGUCGCACCUACCGAUUGAAUGGUCCGGUGAAAUCUCGGGACGGCGGCUCGGUCGCUUGCGUCCGACUGCUGAAACUUGAUUAAACCAUAUCAUUUAGAGGAAGGUGAAGUCGUAACA